rnacentral:lncRNA from 1 species
AAUACAUUCAACUAGCUAUAAUCUGAGUGGAAGGAGCUAUUCACAAGCGGUUUCAGGUUCGAACAAGGACAUGUUAGUGCAUGUUGCCUGCGGGAAGUGAAUCAAAAUCCGAUACACAAGGCGCAUAAGAUCACUGCAUCCAGAUUUUAUUUUUUAUGUUUUCCAAGCCCUUUUUUCUUCCACAAAAAUUACCAAUCUGGAUUGAUUCUAUUCUUGGUACGUUCAACAUAGUACAGUUUGUCGUUUCUUGUUCCAAAUCCUUGUUAUAGAUAUGUCAGAACUUUGAUUAACAGCUUCGAUAUUCUAACAUGCUAUCAGGUCGGUAUGCUGCUGCUCCAUUAUCUUCAGUCAAAGGGCGUGCAAGUGAUAACAUUAUUCUCCU